rnacentral:SRP_RNA from 1 species
GGGUGAACUAGGCUGGGGGGCCGGGCGUCUCCUGUAACUGUAAACCGCCCUUAUGACAGAGCCGAACGCCAUUGGGCGGCAUCCUGUGUUAAUUAUUGGUCUGAAUUACUGACAAUGAUUUUUCGUCCCACUGGACUUUCUGCCCUGGGAAACUGGUCAGAUCCGGAAGGAAGCAGCCAUAACCAGAGUAGUUGGUGCUUGUGGGGUCAACGGAGAUGAGAAAGGAUUCAGGUAGCUGGUAAUUGAUACGAAUGUCCACCGAUGGUAUGUUCACCC